GAUGAACGCUAGCGGCAGGCUUAACACAUGCAAGUCGAGGGGCAUCACAUGAAGUAGCAAUACGGAUGGUGGCGACCGGCGCACGGGUGAGUAACACGUAUGCAACCUGCCUUCAACAAGGGGAUAACCCGUUGAAAGACGGACUAAUACCCUAUAACACAGGGGUCCCGCAUGGGAAUAUUUGUUAAAGGACAACCGGUUGAAGAUGGGCAUGCGUUCCAUUAGCUAGUUGGCGGGGUAACGGCCCACCAAGGCAACGAUGGAUAGGGGAACUGAGAGGUUUAUCCCCCAACUGGUACUGAGACACGGACCAGACUCCUACGGGAGGCAGCAGUGAGGAAUAUUGGUCAAUGGACGCAAGUCUGAACCAGCCACGUCGCGUGAAGGAAGACGGCCCUACGGGUUGUAAACUUCUUUUAUACGGGAAUAAAGUGCCCCACGCGUGGGGUUUUGCAUGUACCGUAUGAAUAAGGAUCGGCUAACUCCGUG
rnacentral:rRNA from 1 species